AAGGUUUUUAUGAUUUCAUAGCUACAGCAUGCCAAGAUUCUACAGCCAAAUCUUGGCUUGACUUUACUGGAGUUUAAUCAUGGUGUGUUGGUGACACGUGUUGUUUUAUCUCUGAUUAAACAUAAGGGAUGGAAGGGACUACCAUGAGGCAAGGCUGGCUCUAUUUUUAUCCAGAAGUUUUUGGAUAAAAAGUCAGCAAUGUGCAGAAGACAGGUGGCAGCAAGGUGGAAGGCAAAAUUGGUUUAUUUUGCAUUCCAGGAUCUUCGAGAAGGCAAAUAGUAAAAUGAAAAACACGUGCGGGAAAUUAGGAGCUCAGUUGCCUGGGCCGCUGGAGGGGAUGCUACUGAAGGGGAAAGGCCUUCCUAAUUUGAACAGAGAUGUACCUGUGUCACACCACCCUGUGUCCCCGAUUCAGGUGUAGAACUUGUACACUUUAAAUACCUUACAUUUUUAUUUGUCAAUUAUACCUUGCUUAGUAAAAUGGGAAAAAAUAAAUUAAAAAAACGCACUUCCUUGCUGUGAGAGUUCUUUGUACAUUUGGGGGAUCAGCUUUUUUCAUUUUUCUAAAUGUCAUCCCAGCACUAUUAAAAAGUCCAUCUUGUGCUCAUAUACGUGAUCUGAUACCUCAGUUAGAAUCGAUGUUUCCCUGGGUGAUUGGAUUUAUUUUGACACUGUCUUCUCUAUUGUAUUAGUCUUGGCUGUUUAUUCAUCUGCCGUAUUUUGAUAGAGUCGUGCUAAUCACUUCCCUCUUGGCCCUUCUUUCUCUAAGGGCCUUAUCAGUACUUUUGCAUGUAUUUUACAUGCAAAUUAGAACCAUACACGGCUUUUUAGAGCCAUCUUGUCUAACUCCAGGGGAAAAAAAAAAUCUCAUUUAUAUACGUAUUUUUUUGAAAAAUCACAUAUUACCUAGAAGGACCCCUGGUACUUUUUUUUGUUGAGUCAUCCUGAUGAAAAAGCAAGGGUUGUCUUUCAGUUUGUUCAACCUCACUUUUAUCUUUCAGGAGUGUCUGUAAUUUUCCUCAUGUAGGUUGUGUACAUUACUGUUAAUUUACAAAAUGUUUUUUAGUUUGUGUUGAUGUUUUUCC
rnacentral:lncRNA from 9 species